AUUUAUAUAGUUUAAUAUAAAAAACAUUACAUUUUCAUUGUAAAAAUAAAAUAAUUUUUUUUAUAAAUU
rnacentral:tRNA from 1 species